GAUGUGAAAUCCUACAGCUCAACUGUAGAACUGCAUUGAAAACUACCAACCUAGAGUAUGGGAGGGGGAGAUGGAAUUAGUGGUGUAGGGGUAAAAUCCGUAGAUAUCACUAGGAAUACCUAAAGCGAAGGCGAUCUCCUGGAACAUUACUGACGCUAAGGCGUGAAAGCGUGGGGAGCAAACGGGAUUAGAUACCCCGGUAGUCCACGCCCUAAACGAUGAACACUAGUCGUCGGGAAGCUUGUCUUCUCGGUGAUGCACUUAACAGAUUAAGUGUUCCGCCUGGGGAGUACGGUCGCAAGAUUAAAACUCAAAGGAAUAGACGGGGACCCGCACAAGUGGUGGAGCAUGUGGUUUAAUUCGACGAUACGCGAAGAACCUUACCUGGCCUUGACAUUGAUUGAAUCCACCAGAGAUGGAGGAGUGCCUUUCGGGGAACAUGAAAACAGGUGCUGCACGGCUGUCGUCAGCUCGUGUCGUGAGAUGUUGGGUUAAGUCCCGCAACGAGCGCAACCCUCGUCCUUAGUUGCCAGCAGGUUAAGCUGGGCACUCUAAGGAGACUGCCUUCGUAAGGAGGAGGAAGGUGAGGACGACGUCAAGUCAUCAUGGCCCUUACGGCCAGGGCUACACACGUGCAACAAUGGGGCGUACAGAGAGUUGCGAUACCGCGAGGUGGAGCCAAUCUCAUAAAGCGUCUCUCAGUUCGGAUUGGAGUCUGCAACUCGACUCCAUGAAGCUGGAAUCACUAGUAAUCGUAGAUCAGCAAUGCUACGGUGAAUACGUUCCCGGGUCUU
rnacentral:rRNA from 1 species